GUCUUCGUGGUGUAGUGGUCAGCUUACUCGGCUCCUAUUCGAGAGGUCCGUGGUUCGAGUCCCCGCGAGGGCA
rnacentral:tRNA from 1 species